ensembl:lncRNA
GGGCGGCGGCGGGCUGGGCUGGCCUCGGGCUGCGAUGGAGCGGGGCCGCGGGCUCCGCGCCCCCCGCGCCGCGAAGCCGCAGAGGAAGAAGCGCCGCUCGUCCCCUCUGCCGGGGGCGGCCGCUGUGCCGGGCAGCCGGGCCGGCAGCUCCCAGAUGUGCCGGCGGCGCCUCUUCGGCAGCGCGGGGCCUCGCGGGCCCGAGCCCGCCUGCCUGAAGAAAAAGCCCAGUGGGAAAAACUUACCAAAGAUUAAAGAAAAUGUUGAAUAUACUGAAGAGAGCUCUUCAUGCAACCAAAGCAAUCAAGUGACUGUCAGAGAAACAACAGACUUCAAGAUAAAAGAUGAGGAACCAGAAAAAAACAGUGUACCACUUCAGGAUUACAAAAUAAUCAACUUUGAAAGUAAAGGAAGUUUAAAAAAUGCUGAAGUGACUUCAAGUACAGAAAUUACUCUUCCCACAGGUGUUUCCACCUUUCUCAUAGAGUGUUUAGAUGAAGAUUCAGCUGCAAAUUAUAGCGCUGCUAGUGACAGCCUGAAAACUUACUCAUCUCCUGAAACAUUCAGAGAUGAUGAUUUGGAUCCAGAAAGAUGCAAUUUUUACUCUGUGGACCUUGGCAAGUACAAGAACUCUACUCUCCUGGACUCCAGCAAAGCAGUGACCAUUGAUAAGAUACCACAGAUCUCAAAUCUUUCAGCAAUAUUAGAACCUGUACCAGAGGAUUUUCCAGAGCGAUGCACUAGAAGAAAGAGACCAUCAAGUUACUAUAAAAGCUCUUCAGCAUUAAACGUUUCAGCUACGCUGGCAGGGAAAAAACUCUGUAAAAUAACAGCUGCAGGAGAGAGAACUCCAGACCUAAAAAGUGGUACGCGCUGUUCUUCACCAUUAGGACCGGAAAGCAAGCAUGAUAAUCAAACAACUAAAGCCAAAAGGCUGAAGAAAAAAGAAAGCAGCUUUAAUCUCUUUGAAGAAGGUUCAUCAUCAUUUACACAGCUUGAUGCCUCAGAAGACAUGUCAGACAGCUCAAAGGAAUUGACAGUAGAAGUUCUGGCAGCCAAACCGAGGGAUGCUGUGGUGCCUCAAUGUGAUAGACAAGAAAUCUGCUCCAUUGUUAGACUGUCACCAGACCCGAGGCCUUCCUGGCCCCAGCAAGUUCCAGUUAAAUUUAAAAAGUUCCGCUGUCCCAAAGGAGUGCCUGAAGAUACUAUAACAAGUACCAAAAAUUGGAUCUACUGUAAACAGAGAUGAGAUUUUUGGCUCUCAGCAGGAGUUAACAGAAGAAAUGACUGUCUUGCUACUGUGACAGGGUGGUAAAACAGAACUCCUAACUAGUAAAUAAUAGUUAUAUGGUUUUUGUAUGAAUGUUGUUUGAAAUUUAAUAUUACAUGUUUCUAUAAGCUAGUAAAUACUCAAAUACUUUAUAUUAAAUUGUUUUGUUCAGCAGCUAGAUCCUGCUCUGGGCAUUGUUCUGUAAGAUUCCAUAGAGAUGAUUCUUCAAUUUGUUUAGAUUUUUAAAAAGUUUGACUGAAGAACAGGAGACCAAAUUCCUUUAAUUAAUUACUUUUGGCUCUUUCUGCCAAGAUUUCUAGUUUUCUCUAGUAGCAUUAGCAUCAAAAGAUGGAACCUCUGUUUAAGUGUUAACAUUGACUAUGAAGGUCAGUGUUAACAUGGAGUCCUGGGAGUGGCCAUGAAAGCAUUCAUGCACUCUCGGAGACCCAGAAGUCAAUAGUAUGGCACCAUUAAACUCCUUGAGUGCUUAAGUCUGCAGAACUUUGGAGGUACGGGACUGUGAGUUCUGCUGUAAUUUGAUUUCUGAACAUGACUACAGGUCAUCUUCACCCCAUCAUCACUGAGAAUUGUCUCUUAAUGAUCAGCACUGUCACCAUUCAGGGCACAUCCACUGCCCAGCCACUGCCACCACAGAGUCCUUCCUGUUUCAUCUCAGGUAUUUUGUAAGAUCACAUCUCUUAGUCAUUCUCUCUUCUAGUGGCUUCAGACUUAAGAGAAAGUAAAUGCCUUACAUGAAGACAAUGGUGGGAAAAACCCUUUUAUAGCUGAACUGUUUGAAGAGAUGGAUAUUGACAUUCUGGAUUUUCAGGUUACUUCUCACACUGUGUCCACAUAAGUUAGACUCCCUGUGCUUCCUGUUCAGGUUGUGGAUUGUUAAUUCAUAAAUGUUGUUCUUAAUGUGCUGAAUGUCUCGGAAAAAACAGUCAAGAACAAUUUUUUUCCACUUGAAUUCAUUGCA